rnacentral:rRNA from 1 species
GGAAUAUUGGUCAAUGGGCGGAAGCCUGAACCAGCCAUGCCGCGUGCAGGAUGAAUGCCCUAUGGGUUGUAAACUGCUUUUAUAUGGGGAGAAAAAAGUCUAUUUAUAGAUUCUUGACGGUACCAUAAGAAUAAGGAUCGGCUAACUACGUGCCAGCAGCCGCGGUAAUACGUAGGAUCCGAGCGUUGUCCGGAUUUAUUGGGUUUAAAGGGUGCGUAGGCGGAAAGAUAAGUCAGUGGUGAAAGCCGGUCGCUCAACGAUCGAAUUGCCAUUGAUACUGUCUUUCUAGAAUACGGUUGAGGUAGGCGGAAUGUGUGGUGUAGCGGUGAAAUGCAUAGAUAUCACACAGAACUCCGAUUGCGAAGGCAGCUUACUAAGCCGUUAUUGACGCUGAGGCACGAAAGCGUGGGGAUCAAACAGGAUUAGAUACCCUGGUAGUCCACGCCGUAAACGAUGUUAACUCGUUGUUGGCGAUAAAGAGUCAGCGACUAAGGGAAACCGAUAAGUUAACCACCUGGGGAGUACGACCGCAAGGUUGAAACUCAAAGGAAUUGACGG